GAAGGUUCUGUUCCAAGAAGUACAACUACUACAACUACACCAUAACAUAACACAACAUAACAUAACAUAAUGUAGCACACAUAUACAUGUAGUCGUGUAAACGCAAUAAUCAUAACCUAUUAGCCCUUGAUUUUACCCAUUUUGGUCGCUUUGGUAGGCUUUGAUUCCCCGACAAGCUUUGGUGUUUCAUCCAUACUGUACAAUCUGUCACGCAAUUCUCUCUCCCACUCUCUCCAAACAAACUACAUCGUUAUUUUGCUAGACCCGACCUAAGCCAAUGUCCAGCGAAGCACAUUC
rnacentral:lncRNA from 1 species